rfam:Gossypium hirsutum cultivar TM-1 chromosome 18, whole genome shotgun sequence
CACGUCAGCGCGAGAUGCUGACGUGGAAGGAAAUCGCGUCCUUGAGAGUGCAAUUUCCUUCCACGUCAGCAUCUCGGGCUAACGUGG